rnacentral:rRNA from 1 species
CCUACGGGGGGCAGCAGUGGGGAAUAUUGCACAAUGGGCGCAAGCCUGAUGCAGCCAUGCCGCGUGUGUGAAGAAGGCCUUCGGGUUGUAAAGCACUUUCAGCGGGGAGGAAGGCGUUAAGGUUAAUAACCUUGUCGAUUGACGUUACCCGCGGAAGAAGCACCGGCUAACUCCGUGCCAGCAGCCGCGGUAAUACGGAGGGUGCAAGCGUUAAUCGGAAUUACUGGGCGUAAAGCGCACGCAGGCGGUCUGUCAAGUCGGAUGUGAAAUCCCCGGGCUCAACCUGGGAACUGCAUUCGAAACUGGGAGGCUAGAGUCUUGUAGAGGGGGGUAGAAUUCCAGGUGUAGCGGUGAAAUGCGUAGAGAUCUGGAGGAAUACCGGUGGCGAAGGCGGCCCCCUGGACAAAGACUGACGCUCAGGUGCGAAAGCGUGGGGAGCAAACAGGAUUAGAUACCCUAGUAGUC